GGUGUCCUACGGGGCGCAGCAGUGGGGAAUAUUGCACAAUGGGGGAAACCCUGAUGCAGCAACGCCGCGUGAAGGAAGACGGUUUUCGGAUUGUAAGCUUCUUUUCUUAGUGAAGAAGCAAGUGACGGUAGCUAAGGAAUAAGCAUCGGCUAACUACGUGCCAGCAGCCGCGGUAAUACGUAGGAUGCGAGCGUUAUCCGGAAUUACUGGGGGUAAAGGGAGCGCAGGCGGGACUGCAAGUUGGUUGUGAAAUACCGCAGCUUAACUGCGGAGCUG
rnacentral:rRNA from 1 species